rnacentral:lncRNA from 1 species
UUUUUUUUUCAGUUACUUGGGAAUUGGGAAUGUAAUUGGAUCAAGUGCAAUAGUUGUUGAUUAUGACUUAAAGUAGAGGAUUUGCUCUGGCAUUUUUAAGGAAGAAAUGCUCAUCUUAGUUUUUCGGGCAUUAUGGUUGACUUGAAAUUUGAUAAUGAAUUUGGGUAAUUGCUGUGUAACAUAGAAUUCUGGGAGAUGUGAAGAAUAAAAGUUUGGAGAGCGAAAUUUCAAUUAACUUAGAUAAGAUAUUUGUCAACAGAAGGUGGUGAAUGCUAAUUAAAUCUAUUCCUUACAUGGAGGAUAGAGGUCAAGACGUAUGGACCUUAAGGUUUUCAUUUUCAAGUGCUUAGAUGCCAAUUUUACUUUAUAAGAGUAAUUUUACAAUAAGGGAAUCCCAUACUUUAAUAAAGUAAGGGACAAGCUAAAAGACCAAAAAACAUAGAUUUCAAUACACUGCAGUGGAGUGUGUGUUUUUCUGUCUUUUAGCUUGUUCCUUACUUUAAAGUAAGGGAUUUCCUUAUUGUAAAAUUACGCUCUCUCUCUCUCUCUCUCUCUCUCUCUCUCUCUCUCUC